rnacentral:lncRNA from 1 species
GAAAUACACCGUUUGCUGAAGAGCAGGGCUGGGCACUGGUUUCUCUGCGUUCUGAAUUUCUAGAAAGGUGCCGUGGACACUGCCAGAAUUUGUCAAAGGUCCUAGGAAGAAAAGGCUCUUUCACCCCUCCCCUCAAUGAACAGAUGGCGUGUUUGGACUGUUCGCAUUCGCUCCUCAUAGGUGGGAUCCUGGAGGAAGUUAAGGGGUGCUCCGUUCCCUGGGGAUGGGACAGCAGCUCGCCUUUUUACUAAUAGCUAUAAGGGACUGUCAGACAUUUACCUGACUAGACCUUCACCUCAGAGCUCAGAAGGGGAACAGCUCCAGAACUAAAAGAGAGAGCCUCUGGCAGACCCCAAAAGACAGCAUGUGGAGUGAAGCUGGGCUUCCCUGCCCAAUCACUAGGAUCAUUUAUUGCACAAAUACCUGUAUUUUAAGCUGCAGAUUAUUGUGAAUUUUUGUAUUUUCUUCAUUUCCAUUUAGCUUUUUUUCAAUUUUAGAAUAGCCUUUCUCUAGAUAACUCGAGGAAGUGGGAGACGGAAUUUCCUUUGUUUCUGUCUUGAGCCCAAAGGGACAAUUGAGUGUCAGGUAUGACAGGGAUAAAGGGAGAAACUCAGAAAUAAUGCUUUUGUUUUGUUUUGUUUUGUUUUGAGAUGGAGUCUCGCUCUUGUCGCCCAGGCUGGAGUGCAAUGGCAUGAUCUUGGCUCACUGCAAACUCCACCUCCUGGGUUCAAGCGAUUCUCCUCCUCAGCCUCCCAAGUAGAUGGGCUUACAGGCAAGCGCCAUCACGCCCGGCUAAUUUUGUAUUUUUAGUAGAGAUGGGGUUUCACCAUAUUGGUCAGUCCGGUCUUGAACUCCUGACCUUGUGAUCCACCCACCUUGGCCUCUCAAAGUGCUGGGAUUACAGGCAUGAGCCACCGCACCCAGCCAGAGGAAUGUUUUGGGUGCUACACGUGCAGCCCCUCAUGACUGUAUCUCCUCAGAGCUCUUUUCUUCACAUUCCUGAGUGCUUUGUGUUUUGUUUAUUUAAGGGACAAAUGAAUCUCUUCCCACGCCAUGGGAUUUCCCUUGAUUUUUAUAUUGGGAGUGAAAAGAUGAAGCAUGAGACUCUUCAGCUGCAUCUCGAACUGCAUCUAAUCCCAGCACAUCUCUCUCAAUCUUUGAUUAAGUCUGUUCAUCUAAAAGAGAGACACAGGGGAAAAAUGGAAAUGGGACUUUGGAAGAAUGACCAUCCACAUUCCCAUCACAGCCUGAGAUUUCCUACCUGAUUGAGAUUUUCAGUAGAUGGCCCUAGGUCUAGUUUCCCACUUUGGACCUGCUGCCCUUGGCUCCAAUAGAGGACUUCCAAGUAACUAGGAAGAUUUCACCUCUCUUUUGAAACAUAAUGGACAAAUGUGUUUCUUUAGGAUGAGAGGUGCACCUGGCUAGUCAAUCUUUAUUUUCCUAAAAUAAACAGGAUGAAAACUCAAAACAAAAAGAAAUACCUCAUGGGCAAAAGCUCUCCCAAUACAACUAAUACAGACACUCAACAUGGCUUUGUAGAAACUGACCCCUCUCCCAAGUCUUAUGUUUGUCAGAAUUGCAUGCCUAUUUCAAUCGAAGAAAAGUGAUCUGAUCUCUUCAGAUGAAGGUGGGACUUGGAGAUGCUGCUGCCUAGAGUUAACUUGCCAGAGAAAGGAUAAGCAUUCGGGAAGUGCCAGGAUGGGGUAUCAGCUGAACAAUGGCAGGAUCCCUUCUGCCAGUGGGCUGGCUCAGGGAGUAAACCUCCCCGGAAGGAAUUUUGUUUCUCUCUAGAAUCAAAGUGGGCAAAAUGAUCACCUUAUUCGCCUGGAGUGAACCAGGUUGAAACUGAGAAGGCAGACAUGGGUGAUAAGCCAGAUGAAGUCAUAUGUUAUAACUAAGCUAUGUACCUGUAACUUGCCUGGUAGUUUUUUCAUUCUCUCUAAACAGGUCAUAAUAAGUGUUAGUCUGUGAUCCACUAUGGAGAGAGAUUUCUGGAAAGAAUAGAGGCAGUGGUAGAGGGUCCAAGGUUGUUAUUUAAGGAGAUGAAUGUGGGUCAGGUGCCGUGGCUCACACCUGUAAUCCCAGCAUUUUGGGAGGCAGAGGCAGGAGGAUUGCUUAAGGCCAGAGUUCAAGACCAAACUGGCCAAUAUAGUGAGAUCCCCCCCCCAUCUCUACAAAAGAUAGAAAAACUUAGCCAGGCAUGGUGGCAGGUGCUAUAGUCCCUGCCACCAUGGGACUACAGCUCCUGCAGUCCCAGCUACUCAGGAGUUGAGGCGGAAGGAUUGCUUGAGCCCAGAAGUUCGAGGUUGCAGUGAGCCAUGAUCAUGCCACUGCACUCCUCCGUGGGUGACAGAGCGAGACCUGACUCAAUAAUAAUAAUAUUAAUAAUAAUGAUAAUGCAACACAAACUAUCUUUUACCUCUUGAACAAUGAAUGCAGAUGCCAUGACUACAUCUGUUUGUUGGGGACCAGGGAGGCUGCCAGUGAGGAUUCAGGGUGGAAGUAGUGUGUACCCAAUACCUAUUGUGAGAUGUGGCCUGGGGAGCCCUGAGAUUGCCUGGCCAGGCUCACUCACUACCCAGACACCCUCUUCCUGCAUGGCGAGUCCCUCAGCCCCUCCAAGGCUCAAUUCUCAGACAUCGGAGUAAUCCACAUCCUCCAUCUUGAGUUACUCCUCACAAGGCCUGCAAGUUUUCCUAGGAGGAAGGGAAGACAGGGUUGAACCCACACAAUUCUAGAAUCUAGAAUUUGGAGGAUUUCUAAACCAUUUCUGUAAGUCAGCCCUUGAGAACUUGUAGAUUUUCUCAUCAUUUGCAGCAUGAGAGUCUGGAGUAGACUGUUUGGAUUUGACUCUUGGUUCCUUGGGCAAGUUACUUAACCUCUCAGCUGUGUGUCAGUUUCCUUAUCUAAAAAGUGUGGUUAAUAAUAACUGACCUCUCAGAGGUAUUGUGAGGUUACUGUGAUGAUUAAAUUAGUUGAUUCAUAUAAAAUGUUUAAAAGAGUGCCUGGCAUUAUUAUUAAUAGUAAUAAGUUUAGCAUAAGUCUUGCCUGCCAAUAAGGAGCUGGAUUGAAUGACUACUUUGAUUCUAUUUCUUGGCCUUCUCUUCUCUGGACUAGGUGACCCCAACUUUCUCCUUACUCCUGAAAAAUUUAUCCCAGUCUGCUAAGGAAGAGAAAGCCCAUGUGUGCACAUACACACAUGCACCUACACAAACAUUUACAUACAGUUUUGCUCUUCUAUACAGAGUUAAUAGAGCUACUAGAGUGUCUAGGAACCAAUCUGAAAGAGAAAGGAAACACUGCUUUUUUUUUGUUUGUUUUUUGAGAUGGAGUCUCACUCUGUCACCAGGCUGGAGUGCAGUGGCGCAAUUGUGGCUCACUGCAAACUCCACUUCCCUAGUUCAAAUGAUUCUCCUGCCUCAGCCUCCCGAGUAGCUGGGACUACAGGCGUGCAUCACCACACCCAGCUAAUUUUUGUAUUUUUAGUAGAGAUGGGGUUUCACCAUGUUGGCUAGGAUGGUCUUGAUCUCUUGACCUCGUGAUCUGCCUGCCUCAGCCUCUCAAAGAGCUGGGAUUACAGGCAUGAGUCACCACGCCCGGCCGAAACACUGCUUAUUACAAUUUAUAGGUUUAUGUUCAAAAAGUUGCUAAUCUUAUUGCUGUGAACCCCUGCCAUCUCUAGUCCUGCCCACCUAUAGGUACUGCAGACCAAAUUACAGAUUCAGAUUUGCCCAGUUCCUGUUCCUGUCUUGACCAAUCCUAGUAACUUAUUUGGGGCCCAGCCCCAUCUUCAGUGGAAGGUCUAAAAUUGGCCUUGCUUCCUUAAGCUGGGUACACAGUGGGCCCAGGACUAAGCCUCAUGAAGCUUUUAGAGGCCCACUGAGAUUAACCUUUCUCACCAGUGCUCACCUUGUCUUCCUAGUGACCAUGGCUGCCUUCUGUCUAGUUCUAGAGUUGCACUCUAAUUCUCUUCCAGCGCUGUUGCCCUGAUCUACAUAUCUAUCUCUUUUAGAACUUUCCAGCUUAUGUGUCCAAUGUCAGUCUUUCUUCCAAAUAAAUAGAACUUUAUCUUGAUGAAUAUUUAAUGUUCAACCCACCCCUGGUCCCUGGCUAGAAUCAUCUCUGAAAUGUCUAAAGCUCUGCCACUACCUGCACCAGGAGAAGCAAUGUGUCACCACCAACCUAAUAGCAACCAUCAGCUUUGCUGGAGUUAUCCAUUCACCGAACUGAAUCUAUCAGCUUUCCUGAGUUCACUGGGACACUGAUUUGGACCGGACACCAUCACUUGAGAAACAGCGUUAGCACCAGGGUGAACACCACCAGUACCCGACCUGCCUGUAGUUAGCUUCCUCCUCUUUCCCUAUUGACCCACAGAUUAAGUUGCUGCAUGCCCUGGGGCAACACCUGGGGGUAUGACAACUGAAAACUAAGAAACUAAGUACUAUACAUCCAAUUUGUCUGUGUUCACUGCCCACUUGACGUUUCUACUAGGAUGCUUGCAAGAUGCAUCAAACUCCGUAGUCCAAGAUCAUACUCAUGAUCUUUUGCCCAAAACCAUACCCCGCUUCCAUUCUGAUACUCCUCUAAUCAGUUUUCCACACUGCAACCCAAGUGAUCUUUUCAAAAUGCAAAUCUGUUCAUCACACACAUACACACUUAAAACCCUUCAUUGGCUCCUCUUCGUCCUCAGGAGAAAGGCUCAUAUCCUUAACACAGGCUCCCCGUCCUGCGUGUUUGGCCCUGGAUGCCUUUCCAGCCUUCCCUGGCCUCACUCUCCCUCUCCCCUGAUAUACUGCAGCCACCAGGG